rnacentral:rRNA from 1 species
UCCGUAGGUGAACCUGCGGAAGGGAUCAUUACCAGAGUGCCCUAGGCUCUCCAACCCAUUGUGAACUUACCAAACGUUCCCUCGGCGGGCUCAGCGCGCGGUGGCCUCCGGGCCUCCGGGCGUCCGCCGGGGAAAACCAAACCCUGAUUUAAUCGUAUUUCUCUGAGGGGCGAAAGCCCGAAAACAAAAUGAAUCAAAACUUUCAACAACGGAUCUCUUGGCUCUGGCAUCGAUGAAGAACGCAGCGAAAUGCGAUAAGUAAUGUGAAUUGCAGAAUUCAGUGAAUCAUCGAAUCUUUGAACGCACAUUGCGCCCGCCGGCACUCCGGCGGGCAUGCCUGUCCGAGCGUCAUUUCAACCCUCAGGCCCACCCUUCCGGGGGAGCGGGCCUGGUUCUGGGGAUCGGCGGCCCUCGCGGCCCCCGUCCCUCAAAUUCAGUGGCGGUCGCGCCGCAGCCUCCCCUGCGUAGUAGCACAACCUCGCACCGGAGAGCGGAACGACCACGCCGUAAAACACCCAAUUUUUUAAGGUUGACCUCGGAUCAGGUAGGAAUACCCGCUGAACUUAAGCAUAUCAAUAAGCGGAGGA